UGGGGAAUAUUGGACAAUGGGGGCAACCCUGAUCCAGCAAUGCCGCGUGAGUGAUGAAGGCCUUCGGGUUGUAAAGCUCUUUUGCCAGGGACGAUAAUGACGGUACCUGGAGAAUAAGCCCCGGCUAACUUCGUGCCAGCAGCCGCGGUAAUACGAAGGGGGCUAGCGUUGUUCGGAAUUACUGGGCGUAAAGGGCGCGUAGGCGGUUUGAUUAGUCAGAUGUGAAAUUCCCGGGCUUAACCUGGGCGCUGCAUUUGAUACUGUCAGGCUUGAAUUCAGGAGAGGAUAGCGGAAUUCCCAGUGUAGAGGUGAAAUUCGUAGAUAUUGGGAAGAACACCGGUGGCGAAGGCGGCUAUCUGGACUGACAUUGACGCUGAGGCGCGAAAGCGUGGGGAGCAAACAG
rnacentral:rRNA from 1 species